UGUCUGCCAGACACAGAUAGUUACACGAGUGAGAGUUUUAGAUAAAAUAUGUGUAUGAAAACUCACAUGGGUAGUCAAAAGUUACGACUUUGACAACGUUUAAAGCGUUCGCCAGCAAGUUCUUCCAUCUGCAUAAAACUCAAGCUUGGUGUUCAAUAGAAAUCUUGCUGCGCCAAAGAAGGAGAAAGCUCCCACACCGUCAUCAAAGCCGGCCAAAUCCCAUUGCGGAACGCAGAAAAAGGUCAAUUGUUGUAUUUUUUUUUUUAAUUUUCAUUAUGCAUUUGUGAUCUGUUUUGAGCUACAAAUUGAGUGGCCAACACAGUUUGAGAAAUGUUGAAUUAUGUUUGUUUAUUUUGGCUGAUUUAAAACCUGUAUGUUACAUGAUUUGUGUUUGUUUUUAAUGAAUGGAGAUUGCACAA